GAUGAAGAACGUAGUGAAAUGCGAUAAGUAAUGUGAAUUGCAGAAUUCAGUGAAUCAUCGAAUCUUUGAACGCACAUUGCGCCCCUUGGUAUUCCGAGGGGCAUGCCUGUUCGAGCGUCAUUAUAACCCCUCAAGCUCAGCUUGGUGUUGGGGCCUGCUGCACUGGCAGCCCUUAAAAUCAGUGGCGGCGCCAUCUGGCUCUAAGCGUAGUAAUUCUUCUCGCUAUGGAGUCCUGGUGGAUGCUUGCCAUCAACCCCCAAUUUUUCUAUGGUUGACCUCGGAUCAGGUAGGGAUACUCGCUGAACUUAAGCAUAUCAAUAAGCGGAGGA
rnacentral:misc_RNA from 1 species